CCGGGAGCCUCCAAACCUCGGACAGCUCCGGCCCCGGGCGGCGUCGACCAGCCCCAACUCCCCAGUGGCACCUCCAGGCCGUCCCGGCCCCCCCCCCCCCCCGCAUCCCAGGAGCUACAGCUGCUCCCCCUUCCCGGCUUCAGGAGUUUUAACUUACAGACAGGCGUAGCUCCAAGUUCCUCCAUCUGUGUGCCUUUGACCUGAUUGUCCUGUAUGAGAUCCUGGUGCAUCUGUUCCACAGUUACCUGUGCAGGAUCCACCUGUACCUGAAUUACUGGCUUGUUUAGGCUCCUUUCAAGGUAGAAUUGUAGAAAACAUCUUCUGUUUAAGAGUAUUUGCAUCCCACGCCUGAACAACAAGAUACCAUCAUAGUCCGGAACACUGGAGAAGCUCCAAAGACAAUAUGUGCCAUGAAGAAGAGGAAGAUGAGGAAGAAAGGGGUCUCAGGACCCCUGACUCAAUUUCUGGAGAGGCAUGCUGGGGGCAGAUUUGGGGAGGAACUGGGGGGCAGACAGUUCUGGGAUUGGAUGGACAAUACUAUAAAAUUGUAGAACCACUGGACACAGUGCACGUGCAUCUUUUCUGUACUCCCAUGGUCAGAGGGCUUUCCUUAAAGACCCGUUCUUAUUAUCUUAUCUUUAUUAAAUUUGCGUGGAGUUUUUUUGGCUCCCGAUCUUUAGGCAACACCAGCAUAAGCUGGAAUUACUUUCCAGAUAAAGUCAGUAUUUGUGAUACCAAAGAGAAUAAUAAUAAAAUAAAAAAUAAAAUAUUAUUUUGUAUUUUGAA